AACGAACGCUGGCGGCAGGCCUAACACAUGCAAGUCGAGCGAGGUCUUCGGACCUAGCGGCGGACGGGUGAGUAACGCGUGGGAACGUGCCUCUUGCUACGGAAUAGCCUCGGGAAACUGGGAGUAAUACCGGAUGUGCCCUACGGGGGAAAGAAUUAUCGGCAAGAGACCGGCCCGCGUUGGAUUAGGGAGGUGGUGAGGUAACGGCUCACCAAGCCGACGAUCCAUAGCUGGUGUGAGAGGAUGAUCAGCCCCACUGGAACUGAGACACGGCCCAGACUCCUACGGGAGGCAGCAGUGGGGAAUCUUAGACAAUGGGCGCAAGCCUGAUCUAGCCAUGCCGCGUGAUCGAUGAAGGCCUUAGGGUUGUAAAGAUCUUUCAGCUGGGAAGAUAAUGACUGUACCAGCAGAAGAAGCCCCGGCUAACUCCGUGCCAGCAGCCGCGGUAAUAC
rnacentral:rRNA from 1 species